AAAAAGAAAUUUUAGUAAUCCACUCUCACCUGAGAGAACCGAGAAGACUAGUAGCCCUAGCAGGAGUAGCAGCCACUCACCCCCACCUUCUCCAUCACCGAACUGCUCACGUCGGCCAUAGGGUCCCGUCGCCGCCGGUGUUGUCAGAGAACCCUCACGUCGCCACCAAGCUCCCACUCCUCCCAUCGGCAUCGCUGUCGUUCGUUUGCUUCUCGUCGGAGCGCAUCUGCUCUGUCGCGCUCCUCUUCCCCGUGUUCGCUGAUUUUUUACCUUUUUUUUUUAUUUUGUGAAAAAAGAAACGGAAAAGGCAAAAGGGAAAAAGAAACAAAACAGCAAACAGUUUGUGUGCGUGUUCGUGUUUUUGCGUUCUGACUUUUCACUGCACUGGUCACCGCCGUUUGGAGACAAUGGCCGGCAAAGGCGGAAGCGCUCCGGCGACGUACUCGCCGUCUCCGACUACUCAGAAGAAGAAAACUUCCCUUUUCCAAGAAGACUGGGUCCGACCUGAUGGCCGCGGCUUCCACCAGUGCAGACCUGCUUUUUUCAGGACUGGUGCUGUGAAUGCUGCAUCAGGAUCAGCCUAUGCAGAAUUUGGAAAUACCAAGGUCAUUGUAGCUGUAUUCGGGCCUAGAGAGAGCAAGAAGGCAAUGAUGUACAGUGAUAUAGGGCGUUUAAAUUGCAAUGUUAGCUAUACAACGUUUGCAAGUCCAGUUCGUGGACAGGGUUCAGAUCACAAAGAAUACACUGCAAUGCUUCAUAAAGCUUUGGAGGGUGCAAUAAUAUUAGAAUCUUUCCCCAAGACCACUGUGGAUGUUUUUGCUUUGGUGUUGGAAUCUGGCGGCGGUGAUCUCCCAGUUGUCAUAUCAUGUGCUAGCCUUGCCCUGGCUGAUGCUGGAAUAAUGAUGUAUGAUCUCGUUGCAUCAGUUUCUGUGUCCUGUCUCAGUAAGAAUCUUGUCAUUGAUCCUAUUUUUGAGGAGGAAAAUUCCCAAGAUGGAAGCUUGAUGAUUACGUGCAUGCCUUCUCGCUAUGAAAUUACUCAACUUACAGUUACUGGGGAAUGGUCCACCCCAAAGAUUAACGAGGGAAUGCAACUUUGCCUCGACGCUUGUGCAAAGCUUGCAAAGAUUAUGAGGUCAUGUUUGAAAGAAGCUGCUUCUGAUUCUCAGGAAUAGAAUUUGAGGGCUUGUCAAGAGUAUGCUGUGGAAAAAUCCAGAGCUUAGGCAAGCAUCUGCUACAUAUACUAUCAUCACAUCAGUGAGAAAGCCGAGGAAGCUAAAGAUAUACAAGUGAGAAAGCUAGUGGAUACAUAGCUUAUGCAUCACAGAAACUCUUGGAAGCAAAAUGAACUACAUAUUAAGUUAUAGUGUUGAGUUUUAAAUUGUAGUAGGAGCAUUUGUUUGUAUUUGUGAACAUGUUAUAAAAGCAAGUAUAUGAAUGAAUUAGAUUGGCUAGUUUGUUGACAUUGAAUUCUUGAAA